rnacentral:sRNA from 1 species
CUCGCUGCUAAGCUAUCGCUGCCAACCUAUCUAUCGCUGCCAAUUUAUCUACCACUGCCAAUCUAUCUAUUGCUGCUAAUCUAUCGCUGCUGUCAAUCUAUCUAUCGCUGCUAAUCUAUCUAUCGCUGCUAAUCUAUCGCCGCUGCCAAUCUAUCCCUCACUGCUAAGCUAUCCCUCGCUGCUAAGCUAUCACUGCCAAUCUAUCGCUGCUAAUCUAUCGCUGCCAACCUAUCUACCGCGGCGAAUCUAUCUAUCGCUGCCAAUUUAUCUACCACUGCCAAUCUAUCUAUCGCUGCCAAUCUAUCGCUGCUAAUCUAUCGCUGCUAAUCUAUCGCUGCUAAUCUAUCGCUGCUGCCAAUCUAUCUAUCGCUGCUAAUCUAUCGCCGCUGCCAAUCUAUCCCUCGCUGCUAAGCUAUCCUUCGCUGCUAAGCUAUCCCUCACUGCUAAGCUAUCUCUCACUGCUAAGCUAUCCCUCGCUGCUAAGCUAUCCCUCGCUGCUAAGCUAUCCCUCACUACUAAGCUAUCUAUCACUGCUAAUCUAUCGCUGCCAACCUAUCUAUCACUGCCAAUCUAUCUAUCGCUGCUAAUCUAUCGCUGCCUAAUCUAUCGCUGCUAAUCUAUCGCUGCCAACCUAUCUACCGCGGCGAAUCUAUCUAUCACUAUCAUUACUAGUUCAAAAUAGAACUAGAGCAUAAAUACACUAAACUUCUUUUGAUAGGUAAUGAUUUUUGGUAACACUCAUAGCAUUAUAUCAUCUAUAUAGGGUAAAUCAUGGUCCCAUUUGGUCCCAUUUUAACAAAAUGGGACCAAAUGGAACCAGAAUCAGUAAUUUAUAAGAAGAACAUGACCUGAGACUAGAUUUAUAAUAUAAACAGUGUAAAGUGACUAAUUUAAUAAACACUAUAUGGGACCAGAACUAAGAAAUUUGAUAAUGGGACUGG